GACGGAGGGUGCAAGCGUUGUUCGGAAUUACUGGGCGUAAAGGGCGCGUAGGCGGUCUGUUAAGUUCGGUGUGAAAGCCCCCGGCUCACCUGGGGAACUGCGCCGGAAACCGACAGACUCGAGUACCGGAGAGGAGGGUGGAAGUUCCUGGUGUAGCGGUGAAAUGCGCAGAUAUCAGGAGGAACACCAGCGGCGAAGGCGGCGCUCUGGGCCGGUACUGACACUGAGGAGCGAAAGCGUGGGUAGCAAACAGG
rnacentral:rRNA from 1 species